rnacentral:rRNA from 1 species
UACGGGGGGGGGCAAGCGUUGUUCGGAAUUACUGGGCGUAAAGGGCUCGUAGGCGGCCAACUAAGUCAGACGUGAAAUCCCUCGGCUUAACCGGGGAACUGCGUCUGAUACUGGAUGGCUUGAGUUUGGGAGAGGGAUGCGGAAUUCCAGGUGUAGCGGUGAAAUGCGUAGAUAUCUGGAGGAACACCGGUGGCGAAGGCGGCAUCCUGGACCAACACUGACGCUGAGGAGCGAAAGCCAGGGGAGCAAAGCGGG